rnacentral:rRNA from 1 species
CUACGGGCUGCAGCAGUGGGGAAUAUUGCACAAUGGGGGAAACCCUGAUGCAGCAACGCCGCGUGGAGGAUGACGCAUUUCGGUGUGUAAACUCCUUUUAUAUAGGAAGAUAAUGACGGUACUAUAUGAAUAAGCACCGGCUAACUCCGUGCCAGCAGCCGCGGUAAUACGGAGGGUGCAAGCGUUACUCGGAAUCACUGGGCGUAAAGCGCGCGCAGGCGGCCCCUUAAGUUGGAUGUGAAAGCCUACGGCUUAACCGUAGAACUGCAUCCAAAACUGAGGGGCUAGAGUCUGGGAGGGGAAGAUGGAAUUAGUUGUGUAGGGGUAAAAUCCGUAGAGAUAACUAGGAAUACCAAAAGCGAAGGCGAUCUUCUGGAACAGUACUGACGCUGAGGCGCGAAAGCGUGGGGAGCAAACAGGAUUAGAUACCCUCGUAGUC